AAGGAGACCCAAUCUGUUCAGGUCGCAACGUCACCUUACUAGAACAGAUUCAAUGCGGUCUAAGCACGAGGUUAACCUUGGCUUUCAAACUCUGCUAGGUUAAGCAGACAGGCAUGGGCUAUUAGCUCAGGUGGUUAGAGCGCACCCCUGAUAAGGGUGAGGUCCCUGGUUCGAGUCCAGGAUGGCCCAUAUCACAUGCCUGGGGGUAUAGCUCAGUUGGUAGAGCACCUGCUUUGCACGCAGGGGGUCAGCGGUUCGAGUCCGCUUACCUCC
rnacentral:tRNA from 1 species